GUGUCAGCAGCCGCGGUAAGACGAACCGAGCAAACGUUAUUCGGAAUCACUGGGCUUAAAGGGCGCGUAGGCGGGCCGGCAAGUCAGGGGUGAAAGCCCCCAGCUCAACUGGGGAAGUGCCUUUGAUACUGCCGGUCUCGAGGGAGGUAGGGGCGUGCGGAACUUCCGGUGGAGCGGUGAAAUGCGUAGAUAUCGGAAGGAACACCGGUGGCGAAAGCGGCGCGCUGGACCUCUUCUGACGCUGAGGCGCGAAAGCCAGGGGAGCGAACGGGAUUAGAUACCCGGGUAGUCC
rnacentral:rRNA from 1 species